rnacentral:rRNA from 1 species
AGAGUUUGAUCAUGGCUCAGGACGAACGCUGGCGGCGUGCCUAACACAUGCAAGUCGAGCGAGGGGAGUUCUUCGGAACGAACCUAGCGGCGGACGGGUGAGAACACGUGGGUAACCUGCCUCAAAGAGGGGGAUAGCCUUCCGAAAGGAAGAUUAAUACCGCAUAAUCCAUUGUUUCCGCAUGGGGAUGAUGGUAAAGAUUUAUCGCUUUGAGAUGGACCCGCGGCGCAUUAGCUAGUUGGUGAGGUAAUGGCUCACCAAGGCGACGAUGCGUAGCCGACCUGAGAGGGUGAUCGGCCACAUUAGAACUGAGACACGGUCCAGACUCCUACGGGAGGCAGCAGUGGGGAAUAUUGCACAAUGGGCGCAAGCCUGAUGCAGCAACGCCGCGUGAGUGAUGAAGGUCUUCGGAUUGUAAAGCUCUGUCUUUUGGGACGAUAAUGACGGUACCAAAGGAGGAAGCCACGGCUAACUACGUGCCAGCAGCCGCGGUAAUACGUAGGUGGCAAGCGUUGUCCGGAUUUACUGGGCGUAAAGGGUGCGUAGGUGGAUAUUUAAGUCAGAUGUGAAACCCCUGGGCUCAACUCAGGGACUGCAUUUGAAACUGGAUAUCUGGAGUGCAGGAGAGGUAAGUGGAAUUCCUAGUGUAGCGGUGAAAUGCGUAGAGAUUAGGAAGAACACCAGUGGCGAAGGCGACUUACUGGACUGUAACUGACACUGAGGCACGAAAGCGUGGGUAGCAAACAGGAUUAGAUACCCUGGUAGUCCACGCCGUAAACGAUGAGUACUAGGUGUAGGGGGUAUCGACUCCCUCUGUGCCGCAGUUAACACAAUAAGUACUCCGCCUGGGAAGUACGAUCGCAAGAUUAAAACUCAAAGGAAUUGACGG